rnacentral:rRNA from 1 species
GUCGUAACAAGGUUUCCGUAGGUGAACCUGCGGAAGGAUCAUUAAUGAAUAUCUAUGGCGUUGGUUGUAGCUGGCUUCUAGGAGCAUGUGCACACCCGUCAUUUUUAUCUUUCCACCUGUGCACUAAAUGUAGAUCUGGAUAACUCUCGCUCUCACGAGCGGAUGCAAGGACUGCUGUGUCGCAAGACCGGCUCUCCUUGAACUUCCAGGUCUAUGUAUCCCUUACACACCCCAAUUGAAUGAUGAAGAAUGUAGUCAAUGGGCUUCAAAGCCUAUAAAACAAAAUACAACUUUCAGCAACGGAUCUCUUGGCUCUCGCAUCGAUGAAGAACGCAGCGAAAUGCGAUAAGUAAUGUGAAUUGCAGAAUUCAGUGAAUCAUCGAAUCUUUGAACGCACCUUGCGCUCCUUGGUAUUCCGAGGAGCAUGCCUGUUUGAGUGUCAUUAAAUUCUCAACUUCACCAGUUUCUUAUGAGACUGUGUGAGGCUUGGAUGUGGGGGUUUGUGCAGGCUGCCUCAGCGCGGUCUGCUCCCCUGAAAUGCAUUAGCGAGUUACAACUGGGCUCCGUCUAUUGGUGUGAUAAUUAUCUACGCCGUGGAUUGGGCUUAGACUUGCUUCUAACCGUCUGCAAGGACAAUCUUUUGACAAUUUGACCUCAAAUCAGGUAGGACUACCCGCUGAACUUAAG